CACUUGCCAAAACAGGAUGUUUAGGCUAUGGGAGAGAGGGGGGGGGGUUAUUAUUUCCUUUGCUCAAUAGGUGAGGUGGACAAACAAGAUAGGCAAGGUAGGAGGACGUGUAUACGAGGGAAUAAUUACCAGGGGCACUCCGCGUGGGGGAAUGUACGAGCACAGUCGAAGGUGAUUCAUCGAGGAGUGUGUUAAUUUGUGAACGGCGAGCACUGAGAUCAUCAGGACAUCAAUGGUGGUGAGAGAUACGAUGAGGUGUGAGGGAUCGAUGGACGGUGACGUGGCAAUGGGGCCCAGUUGGAGAGUGAAGAACGUGCGCACUCGAGAGCAAAAGCGGCCACCUAGAAGCCAGUGGUGGUGAGCUCAGGUGACGGUGCCUCGCCUAGACUCCCGCGCCUCCGAUUAGCACGGUUGGCUACGUACGGUGCGACAGAAGUCCAGCGUACGGUCCAUUCCUACUUAUGUGCGCACGAGUCACACAACCGUUUGAAACAAAUAACUGGAAGCUCCGGGGCAAGCUCUGUGGGGGGAGGAGGAUGGAGAACGGGGGUUAGAACACGUGAAGGGUUGGUCACUGUGAAGACGCGCUGUGGAGUGAUUCGAGAAGAACGUUGGCAAGAUUGGCUUGCGCACAUCUGGAUGGAAGCUCAGCUUAAAGAGAAGAGAAAGGAAGGCGGGCAGGGGUGUGACCAUCUUCGGAUCCGUGCGUGCGCUCGGGAAACAAACAAAAAAAUGUUGGCGCCGGUGUGGUAAGAACGCAUCGGCCGGGCACGUGGAGCGAAACGUCGGACAUCGUGCCAUCUUGCUGUGGAAAAGAUGGAUCUUACAAUUGCACCCGAUUCAAGAGCCGAAUGGCUCACAGGGCUACAUCUAAUAAAUGAACUUGAACUUGAAAUGAAAAUGCUCUGUUCUCCACGUUCUGGGUCGGGUUUUUGUUUUAUCUAUCCGUUGUGUUCUCGUACCCUUUUAACGAUGUAAUUUUUUUGGGGGGGGGAUUUUAAGGUAUUCAUGUUUGU